rnacentral:rRNA from 1 species
GAUGAACGCUGGCGGCGUGCCUAAUACAUGCAAGUCGAGCGAACAGACGAGGAGCUUGCUCCUCUGACGUUAGCGGCGGACGGGUGAGUAACACGUGGAUAACCUACCUAUAAGACUGGGAUAACUUCGGGAAACCGGAGCUAAUACCGGAUAAUAUAUUGAACCGCAUGGUUCAAUAGUGAAAGACGGUUUUGCUGUCACUUAUAGAUGGAUCCGCGCCGCAUUAGCUAGUUGGUAAGGUAACGGCUUACCAAGGCAACGAUGCGUAGCCGACCUGAGAGGGUGAUCGGCCACACUGGAACUGAGACACGGUCCAGACUCCUACGGGAGGCAGCAGUAGGGAAUCUUCCGCAGUGGGCGGAAGCCUGAUGCAGCAACGCCGCGUGCGGGAUGACGGCCUUCGGGUUGUAAACCGCUUUCGCCUGUGACGAAGCGUGAGUGACGGUAAUGGGUAAAGAAGCACCGGCUAACUACGUG